rnacentral:rRNA from 1 species
AUGAGCGCUGGCGGCGUGCCUAAUACAUGCAAGUCGAGCGAACAGGCGAGGAGCUUGCUCCUCUGACGUUAGCGGCGGACGGGUGAGUAACACGUGGAUAACCUACCUAUAAGACUGGGAUAACUUCGGGAAACCGGAGCUAAUACCGGAUAAUAUAUUGAACCGCAUGGUUCAAUAGUGAAAGACGGUUUUGCUGUCACUUAUAGAUGGAUCCGCGCCGCAUUAGCUAGUUGGUAAGGUAACGGCUUACCAAGGCAACGAUGCGUAGCCGACCUGAGAGGGUGAUCGGCCACACUGGAACUGAGACACGGUCCAGACUCCUACGGGAGGCAGCAGUAGGGAAUCUUCCGCAAUGGGCGAAAGCUUGACGGAGCAACGCCGCGUGAGUGAUGAAGGUCUUCGGAUCGUAAAACUCUGUUAUUAGGGAAGAACAAAUGUGUAAGUAACUAUGCACGUCUUGACGGUACCUAAUCAGAAAGCCACGGCUAACUACGUG